rnacentral:lncRNA from 1 species
UGCAAUUCAAAGCUUUUAUCAUCAAUCCGAACGCAAACAGAGGUGGGUAAGUCUGUCUCUUCACUCCUAACAUUAAGACAGUUAGUUCAACAGAUUUAGUUUCACAAAUUUACGAUCAAAACUGAGACAUCAGAUAUAGAUUUUACCAUGCACGUAUUCUUUCCUUUAGCAAGGCUCCUGCAUUUGGACUCGAGAAUGGACUCCAAGCCAUAGGACUAGCCUUUGCACUCAUCGAUUCCAUUUCUUGCAGACUGAAAAUGCUCAACACCAGUAUUAGCUAUCUAGAAUCUUUCUCCCAACUAGCUGCAGGUUGAAUUCUUUCGACAGUUGAGCUCUUCCAAACAUAAAGGCUUUUUAUGUUUAGUUCAUGAAAUUCCUCAAGAACUCAUGUCAAGGCUCCAAGUAGGAUGGUAAAGCUUGCUUUUCAGUGGCACUCAAAUGCUUGAUGAAGAAAGUACAAAGAAAACAAAAAGAGUUGGAAGACAGGAAUGUUGUAUUUAUAAAAAGAACUACAUAAACAGUGACGACAAAGAAGCUGGAAAUGGAAACAAAAGUGUAGCUCUCAGCUCCUCAGAAAAGGCCAGCCAUGUUAGAGCUCAAGAGCUUAAAAGAGUAGGCAAGAAGGAAAGCACAGCUAGAAUAGAAGAAGAGGUGUGUUGUCAGCUGUUGGGCCACAACCUCGCACUCUCUUUCUUCCAAGUCUUAAAGUCAGAGAGCACGCGACAGUAACUGAGGGCGCACGAAUGGGGGUGAAUCCUACUUUUAAGGCUUUGAAUUCGGACACUUGUGGAGGGUUUUAAAUAAUUGUGGUAGAGGAACCACCCUCAUUCAACUGUCUCGCUUAGCUUGCCUCUGGUUUCCUCUUUUUUGAAAGCCUUAGAAUGGUAAGCGCUUCUUAGAAUCACCUCGGUGAUGAUAACUGGUUAAUAUGCCUGUUUCUUAUGAAAUCCUUCUAACGCCCCAGACGGC